UGGGGAAUAUCGCACAAUGGGCGAAAGCCUGAUGCAGCAACGCCGCGUGAGUGAUGAAGGCCUUCGGGUUGUAAAGCUCUGUCUUUUGGGACGAUAAUGACGGUACCAAAGGAGGAAGCCACGGCUAACUACGUGCCAGCAGCCGCGGUAAUACGUAGGUGGCAAGCGUUGUCCGGAUUUACUGGGCGUAAAGGAUGCGUAGGCGGAUUUUUAAGUGAGAUGUGAAAACCCUAAGCUUAACUUGGGGACUGCAUUUCAUACUGGAAAUCUAGAGUGCGGGAGAGGAGAAUGGAAUUCCUAGUGUAGCGGUGAAAUGCGUAGAGAUUAGGAAGAACACCAGUGGCGAAGGCGAUUCUCUAGACCGUAACUGACGCUGAGGCAUGAAAGCGUGGGUAGCAAACAGGAUUAGAUACCCUGGUAGUCCACGCCGUAAACGAUGAGUACUAGGUGUAGGAGGUAUCGACCCCUUCUGUGCCGCAGUUAACACAAUAAGUACUCUGCCUGGGGAAGUACGAUCGCAAGAUUAAAACUUAAAGGAAUUGACGGGGGUCAUAGCUGUUUUCCU
rnacentral:rRNA from 1 species